ensembl:lncRNA
GUGUGUCUCUCUCUAACAUUCUCUCUCUGUCUGUGUGUGUGUGUCUCUCUCUGUGUGUGUGUGUCUCUCUCUAACAUUCUCUCUCUGUCUGUGUGUGUGUGUCUCUCUCUAACAUUCUCUCUCUGUCUGUGUGUGUGUGUCUCUCUCUAACAUUCUCUCUCUGUCUGUGUGUGUGUGUCUCUCUCUAACAUUCUCUCUCUGUCUGUGUGUGUGUGUCUCUCUCUCUCUCCCUGUGUUUCCGUCUCUGCAGUUCAGGUGUCCUCCAGUCGGUAAUUGAAACUCCUAAUUCAUUGAAUUGUUGUAAUCCUACCAAUUUCAACGAUGACACUUAAACCCAGGCUUAUUUAGGAUGGAAUACAUCCUCUGAGAUGAGUCAUCUACUUUCACAGAAGCUCCAGACUACUUAGAGGAUAUUAUUAUAGGCUUUUUACAUUGGAAUCAAAAUGAGGGUUAUUACCAUAAGAGAUAAAGACAGGAUGAUGGGCCUAUUAUGAUGUAGUGCUAUUCAUUACAGUUGCAAUCUAUAAACUUUGGUAUGAGUGAUUCACAAGAGCUAACAUUAGAGCUAUUUGUCAAUACUAAAAACAGAAGAGAACAGGAUACGUUUUUGUUGAUAUUAGCUUUGUACCAGAAAGGUUGAGGUUUGAGACGCUUUUCUGAGAGAAACCUGUCAAAAUGUCAGCUAGAGAAAAGAGAGUCAAAGCGUCCAUAGAGCAUCUGAUACGAAACCAACUAGCCUGCUAAUAUUGUUGCACUUGCUAUGUCUAUGACCUAGUUUAUUAGUCUUUAACCUGAUUUAACCCCCUACAGUUGAUAUCUGCACCCCCACGAAAAUCUAAUUAGCAUAAUUUUAAAAAUCCCAUAAAAAUCUGUCAGUUUAAGCUAGAUAUAUAUAUUUUUGCAUUGGACGUGCCAUUGGAACACAGGAGUGAUGGUGGCAGAUUUGGGCCUCUGUACGCCUAUGUAGAUAUUCCAUUAAAAAUCAGCCAUUUCCAGCUACAAUAGUCAUUUACAACAUUAAGAAUGUCUACACUAAUCAAUUUGUAGUUAUUUUAAUGGACAAAAAAACAUGCUUUUCUUUCAAAAACAAGGACAUUUCUAAGCGACAUUAAACUUUUGAAUGGUAGUGUAAAUGUGCCCAAGGAGACAACAACCUUACCUUGGUAACUUUGGGCAAUCUGGUUUCAAGGCUUCCAGCCUCCCCCAAAACAUGGCUGCCAAGUAGACAGGUCUGCAAGGGCUAAUGGCCAGGG